UACGAAGGGGGCUAGCGUUGUUCGGAUUUACUGGGCGUAAAGCGCACGUAGGCGGAUCGAUCAGUCAGGGGUGAAAUCCCAGAGCUCAACUCUGGAACUGCCUUUGAUACUGUCGAUCUGGAGUAUGGAAGAGGUGAGUGGAAUUCCGAGUGUAGAGGUGAAAUGCGUAGAUAUCAAGAGGAACACCUGAGGCGAAGGCGGGUUGCUAGGCUGACACUGACGCUGAGUGCGCGAAAGCCAGGGGAGCAAACGGG
rnacentral:rRNA from 1 species